UCGGACAUGGUGUGCGGUGCACCGCCUCUUUGGAUGCGCUUCCUAACAGCAUUCAGAGGCAGCUCGGGGUUCGACUCCCUGUGUCCGAA